rnacentral:rRNA from 1 species
CACAAGCAGCGGGGCGUGUGGUUUAAUUCGUUGCUACACGAAGAACCUUACCUGGGUUUGACAUAUAGGUUGUAGGGAACUGAAAAGGGACCGACCCUUCGGGGAGCCUAUACAGGUGUUGCAUGGCUGUCGUCAGCUCGUGUCGUGAGAUGUUCGGUUAAGUCCGCUAACGAGCGCAACCCUCGUCGUAUGUUAUAUGUGUCAUACGAGACUGCCGGUAAAAGCCGGAGGAAGGUGAGGAUGAUGUCAAGUCAGCAUGACCUUUAUAUCCAGGGCUACACACACGCUACAAUGGUCUGUACAAUGGGUAGCCAAGCCGCGAGGCGGAGCCAAUCCUGAAAGCAGGCCUCAGUUCAGAUUGCAGUCUGCAACUCGACUGCAUGAAGCCGGAGUUGCUAGUAACCGCAGGUCAGCAAUACUGCGGUGAAUACGUUCCCGGGUCUU